rnacentral:rRNA from 1 species
UGGUAGUUCGCUUAUCACAUGCGAGUCCAGAGGUGCAAGACCUCGGCGGACGGCUCAGUAACUCGCGGAUAAUCUGCCCUCAGGUGGGGAAUACUCUCGGGAAACUGAGGCUAAUGCCCCAUAUAUCUGGGAUGCUGGAACGCUUCCAGGUCGAAAGCUCCGGCGCCUGAGGAUGGGUCUGCGGCCUAUCAGCUUGUAGGGGGUUUUACAGACCCCCUAUGCUUCCACGGGUACGGGCUAUGGGAGUAGUCGCCCGGAGAUGGAUUCUGAGACACGAAUCCUGGCCCUACGGGGCGCAGCAGUCGCGAAAACUCCGCAAUGUGGGAAACCACGACGGGAGAACUCCCAGUGCGUGCACUUUGUGUACGCUGUUCUCGUGCCUAACAAUCACGAGAAGUAAGGGCCGGGUAAGACGGGUGCCAGCCGCCGCGGUAAUACCCGCGUCCCGAGUGGUGCUCAUUAUUAUUGAGUCUAAAACGUCCGUAGCCGGUUUGCUAUAUUCCUGGCUAAAUCGAACCGCUCACUGGUUCGUAUUCCGGGGGAGACCGUCCGACUUGGGACCGGGAUGAUGCGACGAGGUACUCCUGCCGUCAGGCGGUAAUAUCCCUGUAAUUGCCUGGGAGGACCACCACUAGUAGAAGGCGUCGCUGCUAGAACGCAUCCGACGGUCAGCGACGAAGCCCAGAGGCGCAAACGGGACUCAGAUACCUCCGGUAGUCCUGGGUGUAAACGCUGCAGGCUUGCUGUCGGGGGUCCUACGGGGGCGCCCGGUGCCGGAGCGAAGGUGUUAAGCCUGCUACUUGGGGAGUACGGUCGCAAGACUGAAACCUAAAGGAAUUGGCGGAGGAGCACCGCAACGGGAGGAGCAUGCGGUUCAAUUGGAUUCAACGCCGGAAAACUCACCGGGGGCGACCCUUACAUGAAGGCCAGGCUGAUGACCUUGCCUGAUUUUGGGAGAGGUGGUGCAUGGCCGUCGUCAGUUCGUACCGUAAGGCGUUCUGUCAAGUCAGAUAACGAACGAGACCCUCCCCCUUAGUUGCAAGUUCGUCCUCCGGGACGGGCGCACACUAGGGGGACCGCUGGCGUUAAGCCAGAGGAAGGGGAGGUCAACGGUAGGUCCGUAUGCCCCGAAUCCCCCGGGCUACACGCGCGCUACAAAGGUUGGGACAAUGGGUUCCCACCCCGAGAGGGGGAGGCAAUCCCGAAACCCAAUCGUAGUUCGGACUGAGGGCUGUAACUCGCCCUCACGAAGAUGGAUUCCGUCGUAAUCGCGUGUCAACAUCACGCGGUGAAUAUGCC